rnacentral:rRNA from 1 species
AAUAUUAAAUAGCCGCGGUAUCUUGACCGUGCAAAGGUAGCAUAAUCAUUAGUCUUUUAAUUGAAGACUCGUAUGAAUGGUUGGACAAGGAAGAAACUGUCUCCUGCAUUAAAAUUGAAUUUAACUUUUAAGUGAAAAGGCUUAAAUUAUUCAAAGGGACGAUAAGACCCUAUAAAGCUUUAUAAACUUUUAAAAUCUAAUACAUUUUUCUACAUAAGCUAUUUUUAAAAAUUUUAUUGGGUUGGGGCGACAAUAGUAUAAUAAAAGUAACUGCUAAUCGUUAGUACAAAAAUAUUUGAGUGGUAGCGUUAAUUGAUCCUUCUUAAAGAUUUAAGAUCAAGUUACUUUAGGGAUAACAGCGUUAUUUUUCCUGAGAGUCCUUAUCAAAGGAAAAGUUUGCGACCUCGAUGUUGAAUUAAAAUGUCUAUAUAGUGCAGCAGCUAUAAGAGAAGGUCUGUUCGACCUUUAAUAUUUUACGUGAUCUG